rnacentral:lncRNA from 1 species
GAGGUUUCAGAAGCAUAAGGCAAGCAUAAUGGCUAACAGUGGUUGCCUUCUUCCUUCAGCUAUUCUCAGCUCUGUCUCCAGCACCGUGUCUGCCUGAACACUGCCAUGCUUCCUGCCAUGCUGAAAAUGGACUAAACCUCUGAAACUGUAAGCCAGCCCCAAUUAAAUGUUUGUUUGUUUGUUUCUAAGAGUUGCGGUAGUCGUGGUGUCUCUUCACAGCAUUAAAACCCUAAAACAGGGGAGAACCUAUGAGAUUAUAUUAUCUCAAAAAAACUAUUUUAAAAAAAUCAAUAAGAAGACCAGACGUUGAACUACAGCCAUUUAUCUGAGACAUUUCUGCAUCCAUCUGGUUUGUUCAAAGUUAUCAGAACUGGGUGCUGAAUAGAUUUUGAAAACUAUUCAGGCACUUUUUUAGUCCGAAAUGAUGAUACAUUAUUAUCUCUUAAUUCUCCCAGUUAUAAUGGUGGAAGGCAGCAGAACACAGUGGUACAUGGCUUUAAUGUCAGCACUUGGAAAACAGAGGCAGGAGGAUUUCUGUGAGUUGAAGGCUAGCCUAGUCUACAGAGUUGCAAAGCUCUUGAACCGUCAUUUGUUCUUCCCAGGACUUCUAGGUAGGUCUUCUGAGAAAAGAUUUGUCGUCUUAAACAAAAGCAAACAAACAAAC